rnacentral:rRNA from 1 species
GAUGAACGCUGGCGGCGUGCCUAAUACAUGCAAGUCGAACGAAACUUCUUUAUCACCGAGUGCUUGCACUCACCGAUAAAGAGUUGAGUGGCGAACGGGUGAGUAACACGUGGGCAACCUGCCCAAAAGAGGGGGAUAACACUUGGAAACAGGUGCUAAUACCGCAUAACCAUAGUUACCGCAUGGUAACUAUGUAAAAGGUGGCUAUACUACCGCUUUUGGAUGGGCCCGCGGCGCAUUAGCUAGUUGAUAGGGUAAAGGCUUACCAAGGCAAUGAUGCGUAGCCGAAUUGAGAGGUUGAUCGGCCACAUUGGGACUGAGACACGGCCCAAACUCCUACGGGAGGCAGCAGUAGGGAAUCUUCCACAAUGGGCGAAAGCCUGAUGGAGCAACGCCGCGUGGGUGAAGAAGGUCUUCGGAUCGUAAAACCCUGUUGUUAGAGAAGAAAGUGCGUGAGAGUAACUGUUCACGUUUCGACGGUAUCUAACCAGAAAGCCACUGCUAACUACGUG